GUAAAAGAAAAGUCUUUGCGUCCCAAGCCGGCCAUGCUUCAAAAAGGAGCCUCACGCCAGGAUCCCCCUUCAGACGGCGUCAAUGGGAACAGAGUCGGGAUCCCAUGUCUGCAUCUCAUCCUCCAGCACCCAAAGCAGAGCAGACUGCUGCGGAUGAGCCUUCAUCCUCCAGAAUUUGAGUAAUCAGAAAGGAAAACGCAACACGAAGGCAAUGUGGACGACUGACACCACAUGUCUGUGUGGAGCCGCUGGGGGGCAGAGCAGCGCUGCGCCACAGCAGAUGUUUAUUCAGCGGAUUGGAGUCCUGCAGCUCCGAGGUUUUUCUUGGGCGACGGCCACUUUCUGAGGCAAGAGCUCAUGCGAAAUAUCCCGCUGGCAGCCUGGCGGGCUCACUGCUGUCUCAGACACUUCGUAAAGGCUUUCCGUUAUCCUGGGUGGCAUUCAAAAGCAUAUGAGUGGAUCAGGGAUGGAUGAGAAGUGUGUGUAAAGUAGAAGGAGAUGUUUAGGGCACGGAGGUCAAAACUAUUUCCUGUGCGCCCACAACACCUCCCACACACACAUCCAUCAGUUGUUAUUCAAACAAAUGCAGCCAUCAGACGCUGGAAAUAACACUGGUGUUGCAAUAGUUGUCUCUGCAGAAAUUAGUAGGUUUCACAAACAAUUGAGAUGAAACAGAAAGUAAUGUAGUUGGAUGUAAAACACCUGAAUUUUAUUUUCUUGUAAACUGUACGCUCAUAAAAUGCUGUAUGGUCAAAACUAGGGGAGAGCGGGACAAAAGGAACAUUUUUCAUAAAAACCUAGGCUAUUUUUAAAAGAUAAUGUUUUAGCAGAAAAAUAUUUUUUUCUGUGGUUACUAACUCUCAGGAGUGGUCUAAAAAAUCAGGUUUUAUUAUGUAUCAAUGUAGAACUACUCCAAAAUAACUUGACUUUAAACAAAAGUUGCACAAGUUACAUUUGACCCCAUCAGCAGGGACGAAAGUAACACACAGGUGGGUCAAAAGUAACAAUAUUCGCUAGAUUUACUGGAUUAAUCUUGUUUAUUUAAAAUAUAUCUGAAUAUGAUCUUGUUAAUGUUCACUGCAAACAUAUUUUGUCCUUUAUUUUUCUGAAAAAAUCAUUAACUGCAUUUUCUUUUUCACUUUCAUCAAAUGUUUCUAAAGUAAUUCAACAUUGCAAAAUGUUACAAUUUUCUACAACUCUUGAAUAUUUUUGUAAUUUUAUAAUAUUUAACAAUAUGCAUUAAUCUUUUAAAACAUCUGAAUCCAAACUGGAAUUUGGAAGCGAAAAAUAAGGUCUGAAUAAUAGCAGUGGGACAUAAAUAACCGUGUUACUUUCAUUCCCACAUGAACUCAUGCCAUGUAAACCUGUUAAACGUUUAAACUGAAAAAACUUAAGGAUGUGAUAUUGCACUAAAUAAUCUGUAGACUGAUCAUUACUUUGACUCAUGAAAAGAGAAACUCAGCUUGUAAUUAGGAAAAAAGAACCGCUACAAUAAUUUACUUUCUGCACAUAAAAACUGAAAUUUAAAGCUAAAAUAGUUCUAAAAUCGACACUGUGCUAAAAUCAGCCGAUAUUUGGCAGCUCCAUCAAGGGUUGCACGCUGAGUGUGCUGUUAUAGGCUGAAAAUCAAAUGUUGUCAGGGCUUCAAGAAAAUUGAAUUGUUAAAUUCGCCCCACUUGUUUUAUGUUUGAUAUUAUUAAAUUUGUAAAAACAAUAAAGUUAACUUAAUCAAAUUGUGUUGGGACAACAUGAAGAAAUUGUGAGGAACCCAGCAUUUUUUACAGCAUACUUUUAACUUUGGGAAGACAUAAACUGAAAAAGGAACAACUUUCAAUAGUUCUUCAUGUGCAAGGAAUUGUGCAAAAUGACAACAGAGUUUUAAAUGGUAAAAUAUACUACCAAUUGGAAUUGGUUUUAAUCUACAGCUUUGGACAAAAGCAUUUGCAAUAAACACCAAGUAACUCAUUGAAUUAAAAAAAUAUUAUUUUGAAAUUGCAAACAAAGGCUAAAUAAAAUGCAAACGUGUUGAUUAAAAUGUGAAAAUUGGAGUCCUGAAAUCUGAAAUAGUAAUUUCUUGUUAAAACUUAUAAUAUUUAUUUAAUUGUUUUCAAAAAAUAUUUAUUUAAAUCAAAUCUAACACACUAAAUUUAUUGUUACUUUUUGAAGAACACAUUUUUCAAAUGAGAUUUUCUUUUUAAAUGUUUUACAUGAAUCAGUUUUAUUUUUAACUCAUUUCCCUGAAGAAAAAAUCUCACACUUUAUAAUAAGGUUUCAUUAAUUAAUGUAUUUACUUACGUGAACUAAGUAUGAACGAAACUUGUAGAGUAAUUAUUAAGCAUAUUUCAGCAAUUGCUAAAGCCUUAAAAUGCAAAUUCAUGCUUGUUAACAUUAGAUAAUCCACCGUGAGUAAACAUGAACAACUGUAUUUUCAUUAACUCACAUGAACAAAUACUGUAAUCAAUAUUGUUUAUUGUUUGUGGAUGUUAAUAAAUGCUUCAACUAUCAUUAACUAAUACAACCUUAUUGUAAAGUGUCACCAAAAAAGAAUAGAAACAGCAACACUAAAUAGUAUUUUAUUAUAAAUUUUGUAUUGUUGGAUUCUUUUUUUUUUUUUUUUUUGGCAUAAAAUACUGAAUAAACAUUGUUAAUUCAUGAGUAAAUGAUUGUUCAUCUUCUCCCUUUGACCUUUAGAUUUUAUAGCUGGAUGACAGAGACUGAGGACUUCAUUCAGACCUCUGGAUCUUUGAUUGACACUGAGUCGUCUCACAUGAGUUCAUAGUCUUGGUUAAUCAAAGACGGUAAGAUGCGAACCCAAGCAGAGUCCGGCCCGAUCUACAGUCGUCUGGCCCGCGGUGCAGUGCUGCAUCUCUGGUCAACUGGGAGUCUGAGAUGAAGCACUGUAGCUCGGGAGGACAACACUGUCAGCUCAUACAAACAACACACAUGCAUUUACAUAUGUGAGAUUGCUUUUGAAUAGUUGCCUAACCAUUUGCUUUAUAGGGCAAAUGUUGGUUUUUCAGUCACUGCAGGAUUUUGUGAAUCUGUGAUUGCACAUGUUAAUGCAUAGUAAAGCAAAUGCGUCAAAAUUGGCUUUUUUUUUUUUUUACUUUGCCACAGAUUUUAGGUACAGUUGAAGUCAGAACUAUUAGCCCUCCUGAAUAUUUUUCCCCAAUUUCUGUUUAACAGAAACAGUUUUUCAACACAUUUCUAAACAUAAUAAUUUCAAUAACAAAUUUUUAAUAACUGAUUAUUUUUUAUAAAAACCCGUUCUCACAACUAAAUAAUAAAACUUUUUUUAAAUAAAAUAAAACAAAAUCAGUUAAUAAAACAAAAUCAGCUAUUCUGAAGAAUAGUCACAGUUCCAAGUUAGAAAGUCACAAUUUUGAGUUAGAAAAUCAGAGUUCCGAGUUAGAAAGUCACGAUUCCUAGUUAGAAAAUCAAAAUUCCAAGUUAGAAAUUUGCAAUUCCUAGUUAUAAAGUUGCAAUUCAGAGUUAGCAAGUCGCAAUUUAGAAUAAGAAAGUCAGAAUUUCGAGUAAGAAACACACUAUUCCAAGUUAGAAAUUCGCAAUUCCAAGUUAAAAAAUCAGAAUUUCGAGUUAGAAAGUCACAAUUCAGAGUUAUAAAGUCACAAUUUAGAGUUAGAAAAUCACAAUUCCGAGUUAGAAAGUCUCAAUUCUGAGUUAGAAAAUCAAAAUUCCUAGUUAAAAAGUCACUAUUCCGAGUUAGAAAAUCUGAAUUCCAAGUUACAAAGUCAGAAUUACAAUUUAGAAAGUUGCAAUUCCGAGUUAGAGAAUCAGAAAUUUGAGUUAUAAAGUCGCAAUUCCUGAUUAGAAAGUCAAAAUUCCGAGUUAUAAUUAUAUAAUUUUGCCUUAUUUUUCUUGGUUCUGUUUAAAAAUCUAAUUUUUCCACAGAAUUGGAGGUAAACUUUACAUUUGCCAGUUUAUAGACUUUCUCACACAAUUAGUUUAAUUUGCAUUUCUCAAUCUUUAUCUUAGCAUUACAACUUUGUUUUUAGAAGUACAAAAAUACAAAUAUUUCUCUAAAUCAAAUGUUCUUCUGUAAGAUGACAUUUAAAAAUUUGGUGUUAUGAUAAAAGCUCAUUUAAAUCGUGGAUUGGCAAAACACAUUGCACUUGAAGUAGUGAUUGGUUUGUCAUAUUUAAUAAAUAUGUUAAUGACUUGCUUAUUUUGAUCUUUCACAGCCCUUUGUGUAUCGAAUAUGAUGUUGUGGGCUGAAUAGGAUUCAAAGAUAAACAUUAAGUUUCUUUCUCUAUUGUGUUUCUUAUAUCAUUUAUAAGCCCAAUUAUUCUUCAGGUAAAAAUAAAUAAAUAAAUAAAUAAAUAAAUAAAAGUGUGAGAAGAUUGUUGUCUGUGUAUAUUCUCACAGCAAAAUAAGUCAUUUUAGGCUACAAUAACGUCCUGGAGGGACUGGUUAUUUUACAUGUGCAUCUGUUGCUGUCAGUCUUCAUCAUUUCCUCAUCCCCGGGGUCCAGUUUUCCCAGGAAUCCCUUGGGCAAUCGAAAGGGGGAUUCCUGGAAAUACUGUUCUUGGGGUUGGGGCUGGACUACUGAAUAUGACAUAUUUUUAGCUUUACCUCAUUUUAGAUUUGAUCGUGUGUUACUGUCAUCAUUUGGUGCAUCCAUGCAUUGCUACAUAUAGAAAUAGAUGACUAUAUACAGUAGAAGGCUGAUCAAACCUGUCUUCAGUAAGAUUUUAUUUUUAUAGAUAGAUAGAUAGAUAGAUAGACAGACAGACAGACAGACAGACAGACAGACAGACAGACAGACAGACAGACAGACAGACAGACAGAUAGAUAGAUAGAUAGAUAGAUAGAUAGAUGUUGAAUUUCUUUAAAAUGUUUCAAUAAAGCUAUUAUUAAUCGAACUGUGUUUGUACUGAAUUAUUUUUUAUGUCUAUGUUUGUCUGUAUAUAGAAUAUUUCCAUCUGUUUCAAGUCUUUACAGAGCAUUAGGCCUACUUUCACAUCACGCAUGAAAUGAAGAAACAGCGCCAUCUAUUAGUUUAAAUAUACAGAAAACCCAUCAUGAAGUCCACACGGGGGCGCAGCAGCUGAGUUUAUCAGUGAGCAGAAGAGCAGAACCCGCGACCGCACGUGGAGACUUUACUUCAGUCUACACUGGAGAUCCUUACAAAUU
rnacentral:lncRNA from 1 species